rnacentral:SRP_RNA from 1 species
CGUCGGUUCUCCCGCGACGAUUAGCCGUGAACCCCGUCAGGCCUGGAAGGGAGCAGCGGCAGCGGUCAAAUUGGGUGCCGGAGAUGAGCUGGCGCGG